UGUAUGGAACAGAAAAGACCAAGACUUUCCGUGGGUCAAUGAAUUUUGCAAGAAGAUACACAGUUAUAAAGGAGACAAUCCACCACCUCAGUAUGCUGAUAUGAAAUGGAAGGAAGUUUUUCAUCAAGUCAGAUCUAUUCAAUAUGUACAAGAUUACAGAUUGCAAGGUGUCAGAUUUGAGGGUCCAAUAGAUUUUGUGUUAAAUAAUGCUUGUUCAAUAAGCUACAUAACCAACUUGGAGGAUGACAAGAAAACACUUGCAAGAGAGGAACUAAAGAAAAUACUUUUAAAACACCAUAAAGAGAGUGCAACAAUAGUUGUACCUCAUUAUACCAGAUUAUAUCUCUACAAAAAAAUAAACUGAUUUUAAAAUACC